GUUAGUUUGAUUAGUGUGUCGUUCAAAGAGAGUAAGAAAGGCAUAUCAUGAAAAACAAAAAGGCUUGUUAAAAAAACAAACAAACAAACAAAAGAGCUAAAAGGGCGAGCAACGCCACUAGAGAACUAACCGUAAACACGCCACGUCGGUUGGUGUUGGGCUAAGACGAUGUUGGGGACGAACGGAGUCCAAAAGCCAACGGUGGUGUCCUUUUAAUGAAAAGUUUACACUUGUGUAGUUCAUGCCACUUCUUUGGAUGGAAGUUUAUUGGAUGACUUGGACAAAGCGUAAUUAUGUCGUCUGAUAUCAAUGGAAAGUCUCAAAAGUUUCUGAGGAAAAGUUACAUGCAUGUCCGUGCAACAUGUGCAUCAGGACUUGUCAUCUCAGCUGGGAAUGCUGACGAACCUACAUGUACCUGAAAAUUGUUUGCAAAAUCUGUGGCUUGUUCACCAUGAACAAAGAGAGUUUGACUGAGGAGCAGUGUGAAAAAUGGUUUGAGAUUCAUUGGUGUUAAGGGUAUUACAAAGGCUCCUGCCCAAGUUUGGCAUGGAGAUUUAAUGUGCCAAAUGGCAGUGAUGAUAAAAAAUGAGUGAUUGUCAUUUCAUCAAGCACACAAGGAUGAAUUCUGUGGAAUUGCCACCAUUAUGAAAAUUAACAAAACACUGACCAAGAAUGUCACCAAAAGAGAUACCUUGGGAGGGUGUUACAUCUGAAGCUGGAGCUUUUAAUGAACAGAAGACCAAGAGUAAGAAAAAGGCAAAUUAGACCAAGAAAAUACUUUGUGUAUAUCCAUACAUAGAUAGACAAUGUUUAUUUGUUAAUCCUUCACCUUGCAACCAGGGGCUAGGUGAGCCAAACUUGCAUAUUCUGCAAGCGUCUCUAUAGUAAUUUGAUAUCAUCUUUUCAAUCCUUAAUUAUCUUUUAAGAAUGCUUUGCUGGAGGAAUUCAAGGAAGGAGUGCACCUAAUGAGUAGUCACUGUGGUUCCUCCUCCUUUGGGUUUCUUCUAUAAACCUGUUUGGCCUCUGAAGCAUAACUGUUUUAGGUACAUGUACCAUGUUAAUGAUGGUAACAUGGAAGGUGCGUGGAAGGUUUCCCUAAUAUCCUUUCUUCUGUUGAUGUGCAUCAAAUAUUGCUGGUGAUCUCCAUUCUGAUUCACAGAAAUUUAUUCAAUGUCAAUACCUUAUGACUAUCAUUAAAAUCACUGUCUUGAAGUAAAAGGAGAAGAGAAAAAAAAAUGUCUUGGAUCAUACCAUGAUGACCUGAGUGUUUUAUCAGUCCCUUCUGUUGACUACAGCAAGAAAGCAGGUGUGGGAGAAAAAGUUGCCAUUCUGGAUCAGUGUAAGAAGCUGAGCUAAAAGCAUGAUAAUUAAGCUGCUACAUGAAAUACCUAUAUAUUUUGGUCAGCUGGCAGUUCAUAUAUUUUCUCUCAGUUUUUUGUCCUGGCAGUUAUGGAACAAAAAUCAAGGAACUGAGGCAUCCUCAUGAACAUCAUCAUGAAUUCAACAAGAAUUUGAUUUAUGUGUAGUUGAAAUCUUUAUUGUGAGACUGCCAGCUCAAUUGUAUGCUG